rnacentral:rRNA from 1 species
GUGGGGAAUAUUGGACAAUGGGCGAAAGCCUGAUCCAGCCAUGCCGCGUGUGUGAAGAAGGUCUUCGGAUUGUAAAGCACUUUAAGUUGGGAGGAAGGGCAGUAAGUUAAUACCUUGCUGUUUUGAUGUUACCGACAGAAUAAGCACCGGCUAACUUCGUGCCAGCAGCCGCGGUAAUACGAAGGGUGCAAGCGUUAAUCGGAAUUACUGGGCGUAAAGCGCGCGUAGGGGGUUUUGUAAGUUGGAGGUGAAAUCCCCGGGCUCAACCUGGGAACUGCCUCCAAAACUGCAUGACUAGAGGACGGUAGAGGGUAGUGGAAUUUCCUGUGUAGCGGUGAAAUGCGUAGAUAUAGGAAGGAACACCAGUGGCGAAGGCGACUACCUGGACUGAUACUGACACUGAGGUGCGAAAGCGUGGGGAGCAAACAGGAUUAGAUACCCCGGUAGUCC